UACGGGGGGAGCAAGCGUUGUUCGGAUUUACUGGGCGUAAAGGGCGCGUAGGCGGCCACCGCAAGUCGGUUGUGAAAUCUCCGGGCUUAAUCCGGAAAGGUCAAUCGAUACUGCGGGGCUAGAGUGCAGAAGGGGCAACUGGAAUUCUCGGUGUAGCGGUGAAAUGCGUAGAUAUCGAGAGGAACACCUGCGGCGAAGGCGGGUUGCUGGGCUGACACUGACGCUGAAGCGCGAAAGCUAGGGGAGCGAACGGG
rnacentral:rRNA from 1 species